GCAUAUCAAUAAGCGGAGGAAAAGAAACCAACCGGGAUUGCCUCAGUAACGGCGAGUGAAGCGGCAAGAGCUCAAAUUUGAAAGCUGGCUCCUUCGGAGUCCGCAUUGUAAUUUGCAGAGGAUGCUUUGGGUGCGGCCCCCGUCUAAGUGCCCUGGAACGGGCCGUCAGAGAGGGUGAGAAUCCCGUCUUGGGCGGGGUGUCCGUGCCCGUGUAAAGCUCCUUCGACGAGUCGAGUUGUUUGGGAAUGCAGCUCUAAAUGGGUGGUAAAUUUCAUCUAAAGCUAAAUACUGGCCGGAGACCGAUAGCGCACAAGUAGAGUGAUCGAAAGAUGAAAAGCACUUUGAAAAGAGAGUUAAACAGCACGUGAAAUUGUUGAAAGGGAAGCGCUUGCGACCAGACUCGCCCGCGGGGUUCAGCCGGCAUUCGUGCCGGUGUACUUCCCCGUGGGCGGGCCAGCGUCGGUUUGGGCGGCCGGUCAAAGGCCCCUGGAAUGUAGUACCCUCCGGGGUACCUUAUAGCCAGGGGUGCAAUGCGGCCAGCCUGGACCGAGGAACGCGCUUCGGCACGGACGCUGGCAUAAUGGUCGUAAACGACCCGUCUUGAAACACGGACCAAGGAGUCUAACAUCUACGCGAGUGUUCGGGUGUCAAACCCGUGCGCGCAGUGAAAGCGAACGGAGGUGGGAGCCCCCUCGCGGGGCGCACCAUCGACCGAUCCUGAUGUCUUCGGAUGGAUUUGAGUAAGAGCGUAAAUGUGGGGACCCGAAAGAUGGUGAACUAUGCCUGAAUAGGGCGAAGCCAGAGGAAACUCUGGUGGAGGCUCGCAGCGGUUCUGACGUGCAAAUCGAUCGUCAAAUUUGGGUAUAGGGGCGAAAGACUAAUCGAACCAUCUAGUAGCUGGUUCCUGCCGA
rnacentral:rRNA from 3 species